AAUGAACGUUGGCGGCGUGGAUUAGGCAUGCAAGUCGAGCGAGAACCGUAGCAAUACGGGGACAGCGGCGUAAGGGAGAGUAAUACGUGGAUACCUACCCUCGGGUCCGGGAUAGCUGCGGGAAACUGCAGGUAAUACCGGAUGACAUCUCCGGAUCAACGGUGUGAUUCCGCCCGGGGAGGGGUCCGCGUCCUAUUAGCUAGUUGGUGAGGUAACGGCUCACCAAGGCUGUGAUGGGUACGGGGUUUGAGAGCAUGCCCCCGCUCACUGGGGCUGAGACACUGCCCAGACACCUACGGGUGGCUGCAGUCGAGAAUCUUCGGCAAUGGUCGCAAGCCUGACCGAGCGACGCCGCGUGCGAGAUGAAGGCCUUCGGGUUGUAAAUCGCUGUCAGAGGGGAGGAAAUGCCGGUGGGUUCUCUCAUCGGUUUGACCUAUCCUCAGAGGAAGGACGGGCUAAGUUCGUGCCAGCCGCCGCGGUAA
rnacentral:rRNA from 1 species